rnacentral:guide_RNA from 1 species
UAAAUACAUUAUAUUUAAUUAUCUUAAUUUAAUUUUAUUUUUAUAUUUUGACUGCGACG